AUUGAACGCUGGCGGCAGGCCUAACACAUGCAAGUCGAGCGGAGCGGCGGACGGGUGAGUAAUGCCUAGGAAUCUGCCUGGUAGUGGGGGAUAACGUCCGGAAACGGGCGCUAAUACCGCAUACUAUCAGAUGAGCCUAGGUCGGAUUAGCUAGUUGGGGGGGUAAAGGUCUACCAAGGCGACGAUCCGUAACUGGUCUGAGAGGAUGAUCAGUCACACGGGAACGGAGACACGGUCCAGACGCCUACGGGAGGCAGCAGUGGGGAAUAUUGGACAAUGGGCGAAAGCCUGAUGGAGCCAUGCCGCGUGUGUGAAGAAGGUAUUCGGAUUGUAAAGCACUUUAAGUUGGGAGGCGGUACCAAAAGAAUAAGCACAGGCUAAGUUCGUGCCAGCAGCCGCGGUAAUUG
rnacentral:rRNA from 1 species